GGGGAAUAUUGCGCAAUGGGCGAAAGCCUGACGCAGCAACGCCGCGUGGGGGAUGAAGGCCUUCGGGUUGUAAACCUCUUUCAGCAGGGAAGAAGCGAAAGUGACGGUACCUGCAGAAGAAGCACCGGCUAACUACGUGCCAGCAGCCGCGGUAAUACGUAGGGUGCAAGCGUUGUCCGGAUUUAUUGGGCGUAAAGAGCUCGUAGGCGGUUAGUCACGUCGGAUGUGAAAACCCGGAGCUUAACUCCGGGCCUGCAUUCGAUACGGGCUGACUAGAGUGUUGUAGGGGAGACUGGAACUCCUGGUGUAGCGGUGAAAUGCGCAGAUAUCAGGAAGAACACCGGUGGCGAAGGCGGGUCUCUGGGCAACUACUGACGCUGAGGAGCGAAAGCGUGGGGAGCAAAC
rnacentral:rRNA from 1 species